GCUUUCCUGCGGUGUUUGUUACGACUUGUCUCUCUGAACCAAUAAUUACUUUGGUUGCCUGCCAUGAGUAUGCCUGUUGUGAGCAUCCCCCGUUGGAUGCACCUGAUGGCAUCCGGUCGGUGACCGCUUGAACCUUCGGUUCAAGAUUGCUCGUCGGACGGCACUCGCGGGAAGCUC
rfam:Janthinobacterium sp. B9-8, complete genome.